rnacentral:sRNA from 1 species
CUCUGCGGCGCGGUCCUCGGAGACACGCGGAGGUGUACUGUGUUGGCCAUGGCCGACUACCUGAUUAGUGGGGGCACGUCCUACGUGCCAGACGACGGACUCACAGCACAGCAGCUCUUCAACUGCGGAGAUGGCCUCACCUACAAUGACUUUCUCAUUCUCCCUGGGUACAUCGACUUCACUGCAGACCAGGUGGUGAGUAUGAUCAGGAAUUGGGUCCUGAAUCAAGGUGAGCUAAGGUGCUACUGUCACCUGGUCUCUGGGCUAACUCACCAGAUUGGGCUUGGGGGUGGAUUUUAUGGGAUCAUGUUACUUGUUAGCAUGCAAGUCAUACAAAAGUGCCUUUUUGUGGGGGACUCAGUAACACCUUGAGGUGUAAGAGAUGCUUUCCCACACUGGUUGACCUUUGUCUCCUCAGGACCUGACUUCUGCUCUGACCAAGAAAAUCACUCUUAAGACCCCACUGGUUUCCUCUCCCAUGGACACAGUCACAGAGGCUGGGAUGGCCAUAGCAAUGGCGCUUACAGGCGGUAUUGGCUUCAUCCACCACAACUGUACACCUGAAUUCCAGGCCAAUGAAGUUCGGAAAGUGAAGGUCAGAAGGGCAAGGAUCAUUAGCAAGCGCUCCUGGGAAUUGCACUGAGAAAUACGAACAGGGAUUCAUCACAGACCCUGUGGUCCUCAGCCCCAAGGAUCGCGUGCGGGAUGUUUUUGAGGCCAAGGCCCGGCAUGGUUUCUGCGGUAUCCCAAUCACAGACACAGGCCGGAUGGGGAGCCGCUUGGUGGGCAUCAUCUCCUCCAGGGACAUUGAUUUUCUCAAAGAGGAGGAACAUGACUGUUUCUUGGAAGA